AAAACUCUGUUGUGAAGACGAUGAAGAUUUUAAAGAAGAUGAACAGAACUGAUCUGGUGCAGAAGUUGUUGGAGACCAGCUCAAGUUUCAAAAAGAAACGCUCAGAUGAACCACGCUCUGUCCUGUUGGAGAAAGCAGCAACAAUGGCAGCUGUUAAAGAGCUGCUUUUGGAAAUCCUGCAUUCUUUAAAUGACGGG